GAAAAAUAGAAGAGAAUUUGUACAUUCGGUGCUUUGCCUAUAAAAGAAACCUCCCACCGCCAAUUUUUUUUCAAACAUUUCUUCAUCAUUUUUGCGCCAAAUUUUAGAGGGACUUCAAAGGGAAGAAGGCUGAGAAAGGAAGAAGAAGAAGUUCAAGAAAUGUUUGUUGAAGAAGACAAGGAGUUUGCAAGACCAACUUCACUAUAGUUCACUAAGCACAUCUCUGGCUUUUUAUUGAUUCUGAGCUACAAAAACAGAAUUAAGAGGGACAAGUUAAAGGGGUCGUGGUACGCGCGAUUGUUGGAGUGGUUCAGUUUUGAGGGAUACCUGAAAUUAUACACAUGGAAUCAGAUUUAUAUAUCGUGAGGCCAAGAGGAAAUAGGUCGAAUUUACAUAUCGGGAGUACUGUUGGGCGGACCCCACUACAUCAUAGAUCUUGUAAACGUUUGUUGUACUGGGUGUGCUCUACACAACGUAGAUUUUUUGUGUUGGUUUAAAUAUUUUGAUAUAGUUGAUAUGUCUUGUUAGAUUUCAAUGACGUAUAUACUGAGUAUUUGAGGAAGCUAUUCUUACUAUUAUAUAUCUAUGUUUACGACUUGUAUAAACAGAUUUAUACGUGGGAAGCUUUCACGUGCUCUUACCUUUAAAAUUCUAGUUUUAAACUGAGUCACUCACUAAGCUUUAUAGCUUACCCUUCCAAAAUAUUUUACCCACUUUCUAGGUAAAGAUUGAGUUUCUUGUGCCUGAUGUACUGACUUAGUCUGUUGAAGCUCCGAUAUCGAUUGCUAGUACGUGGUUAGAGUUGUGCAUAGAGUUUGUUGUGUUAUGAUGUAUAUAUCUUAGUAUGAUAUAGAUAGUCUACAGUUUGUGUAAGCUUUAUAAGCUGCGGUUGUAUAAACCUUUGUUGGUUAGGUUUUGGUUAAGGUGUCUCCAAGUUUACUCGUGAAAUCAGUUAUUUUCGGGCUACACUUCAUGUAUGUAUAUGAUUAGUCUAGGAUCCGCUGUGUUAUGUUACAUGUACAAUAGUUUAUAUACUAGAUUAACAAGUUUAUCAUGAUCAAAGUUUUCAACAGUGUCGACAGAUACAUAUAGAGAAAAGCGUUGUCGGUUGACUUCAUGCCGUCUUUUGGUCUAAGCUAGCAGGUAGUCCAGGAGGAGGUGUGACAACGACUCAGAUUAACCGUGUCUCUCGAUGAGGAAGAAAGCAGAUGGUGUGGCUUAGAGAUGGGGAAGGUGCUCAAGUUGGCUUAGAUGCACGGUUGGAAGGAAGAUCGACUUGAAUUGGGCUUGGGUUGGUUCAAUGGCUGCUGGAGAUGGAGAUCUGUGUGAAACGAAGUUGUGUGUGAAAACAAAACUGUUCGUGGAUAAAGCAUGAGGCUCGGGUUGCAUGAUAGGAACGGUAGACGGACAACUAAAUUUUUACCAUCUCCAAAAUAAACACACACUGAGUGUGUCUCACCACACACUCAUCACUAUCAGACAAAUUUCCAAACCAAUUUCAAGUAUGAAAAAUGAAACACUGUUAUGCACCACCUAGUUAUACUACAUGUUGUUGACUUCAGAAUUAACUAAAGACAUAAUUAGAUAAGUAAAUGCACAACACUUUGUUAACCCAAUUCGAUAAAUAUAACUUACAUCUGGGGAGCUUUCUUGCUCAGAUCAGGAAUAUUAUUAAAGAACAUUUUGAAUAACAUAUUACUCUUGUUACAUCAAUAGUCAUAACUAUGAUUCAAUUAACUUCA